rnacentral:lncRNA from 1 species
UCAACUCAGACUCAUUUUCUUCCACUUCUAUUAGCAUAUCCUAUUCAUCAACUUCCAAACAAAACAGUUGCCUCUUCUUUUUACACACAUGUCCAAAAUUAUAUUUUUCAUCACAAUUAAAACACAACCCUUUACUCUUUCUUUCAUCCAUUUCUGUAGAACUUAGCAGUCUAGGAGGUUUGUAACCUGGUUUAGAACUUUCAGCAACAUAAAUAGCUUGUUUGGAGGGAAAAUUUUAUUUAUAAUAAAAGAAAGAAGAUGCUACAGAAUUAGCAAAUUUAGGAGGGUUUCUUGGAGUAGCUAGGAUAGGACAAUGUCAAAAAACUUGUCUAUGCACUUCAAGUGUUUGUUCUUGGAUCUUAGCCAAACUUAUGGCCUUAGCUAAAGUUCUGGGAUUCAAUAUUUUCACUGGCAAGCCAAUUUCAGGUUUCAACCCCCUAAUGAAACAACUAACCACAUAAUGCUCAGGAAGAUCAUCCCCAGUGAGCACUUCAUAAAAAAUAUUAAUAUAUUCUUGAACAGAACCAGUCUGUCUUAAGUCUUUCAGAUCUUCCAUAAGAUCAUCAAAAAGUUCAGAUCCAAACCUAGCAUACAAGCAACCUACAUAUUCACUCCACCUUGACCAAUCUCUGGACAAUCUUUGCUUCAUAAAAGAUUGGUGUCACUGCAAGGCUUUGCCUUCCAAUUUACAGGAAGGCAAUUCCACUUUAGAACCUUUAGGUGUUUCAUCCACCUCAAAGAAUUGCUCACAUUUGUACAACCAUUCUUUUAAUCCCUUACCAUCAAAUUUAGGAAAUUCUACCUGAUAGCUCUGAGUGGGUAGACGGUAAUCUUCAUGUCUAGCAGGAUUAGCCAUUAAAGCUCCAUCAAGUGCCACUGUAGUUGGUUGUCCUUCUACUCUUGCAGAUCUAUUACAAGAACCAUUGCUCAUCAACAUCUUUUUGAUUUCAUCUACUGCUUGUGCGACUUUUGCAUCCACCAGCUGCCUUAAAUCUGACACAGAAGUUACCACAGUAUCCAUGGAACCCUUUAGGUUAUCAACCUCUUUACGUAGCUCUUGCAUACAAGUGUUGUGAUCUCCCAUUGCAGUUGAUCUAAGGAUGUAUUGGCUCUAAUUGUUUUUAUUAUUAUUAUUAUUAUUAUUAUUAUUAUUAUUAUUAUUAUUUUUCAGGGAUAUCAACUUGCUUAUAAAAUGACCUUAGAAACCUUCUCGAUGACUCUAUUCUCUCUCGGUGCAAGUUAGCAAAACCUGGGCCAACCAUGGAUAAGAGAGCUCGGCAGUCAUUGCAGAAGGCUUUAAUGGCGAAGGAGACUAUGGUAAUGCGGGGGGGCGGGGGAGGACUCAACAAGGUCAUAAAACUACAACUACAACAUAGAUAGGAGCAAAUUUGGGGGAAAACCAAUGUAGAAGUAACUUCAACUAGAUCAAUUUUUGGAGAAUUGAAGGAACUAGCGAUGGAGGCAAAAACUAAAGUGGACAAAAAUAAGAUGAAAAUGAGGCAAAUUGAGGCACAACAACAGUGGUUGGAUGUUAUGCUUGAUAAUUGUAGCGCUCCCAGUGAAGAUCCAUAAAGUAGCAGUCGUAAAUCUUGGGCAUACAUAUUUGAGGAGGAAGAGACUAAACCAAUGAAGAAGGGUUCAGUUUGGGAUAAUUUUGAUGUUAUGAAGGUAGUUAAUGCUGGGUUCAAGCUCAACUUUAUCGAUCCAACUACACAAGGUGAGAAUCGCUGUAUUGAGAUCGAUUUAGAUGACAUCAGCAUAAAACUUGAGUACUGGAAAAACUCAAUUGUGUGCUACGUACUGGGAGCUUAUUAUCUAUAUGCUAUAAUUAAAGGCUAUAUCCAGAAACUGUGGGGGAAACUAGGAAUAAACAAAAUCUGAUGCUGAAGAAUGGUGUAGUCCUGGUCAGAUUUGAUACUGCCGCAAGGAAAUAGGAAGUGAUAGAAGGUGGAAUUUAUCAUUUCGAUAACAAACCGUUCAUAGUCAAGGAUUGGAAUCCCGACAUGAAUUUCUCCAAAAAAGAGUUACGUACAGUUCCAAUAUGGAUCAGGCUCCCUGGGUUAGACUUCAAGUACUAGAGUCAAAGAGGGCUAAGCAAAAUAGGAAGCUUAGUGGGAAAGCCGCUAAUGGUAGAUAGUAGCACAGAGAAGAAGGUUGGUCUAAACUAUUCAGUGUUACUAAUUGAAAUACAAUUAAACGGUGUGCUACCUGAAAACAUAAUGUUUAGGAAUGUAAAAGGUUAUUUGAUAGAACAAAAGGUAAAAUAUGAGUGGAAGCCGACCCUAUGCUUUUACUGUGAUAAGUACGGGCAUGGUAUGGAGGUCUGCAGGAAGAAAAAUGUCACAAAGAAGGACACCAAAGUUCCAGCCGAGGAACCUAAACUUGAAUCGAAUAUGGUGUAGUUAGAAGAGGUCAAAAUAAUACACAAUGAGGUGAUAAAACCUGGGAGUCAGGAUAAGCUUCCUCAAGGCAGUGAUUCCAAGCAGGAGAAUUCUAAUACAAAUAGGGAAGAUGGAGAACCAAGUUGGAUCACUCCUUUGAAAGUAGGAAAAAGUCAGCAAAUAAAGUCACAAAAUUUGGUUAGCUUAAAUACUUUCCAGGCGUUGAACACUUCACCUGCAUCUAGUUCACAUGAUGGUAGGGGACUAGAUGGUAAGAUGAUAAAUGGAACCAUUCCUAUCUGUGGGAAUGGAUAGCAUUGUCAGCUGGAAUGUAAGAGGGAUGAAUGGCCAAAAUAAGCAAAAUGAGGUUAAGCUCCUUUGUAAUGAGGAAAAUAUAGGUCUUAUUGGCCUACUAGAAACUAAAUAAAGAAAGAAAGGAUUGAAUAUGUUGCAACUACCAUGUUUAAAGGAUGGCCAUUUAUAACCAACUUAGAGUAUCAUUAUAAUGGUAGAAUUUACGUUACUUGGAGAUCAGACUACUAUCAAGUGUCCUUGUUUAGCAUGACAGAUCAAUUAAUAACCUGUGAUGUUAAACAUAUUCCUAAUUAGUUAGUGUUCCGAGUUAUAUUUGUAUAUGCCUUUAAUACCAUGGAAGAAAGACGGAGCUUAUGGGAGUAUAUAGUAGGGAUGCAUAACGGCACAAUCAUUCCUUGAUUGCUACUAGGAGAUUUCAACUCUGUGUUGCAUAAUGAGGAUAGAAUGAGAGGUAAUCGUGUCUCAUGGUUGGAAGUGACUGAUUUUGCUGCAUGCAUAGAAGAAUGUGGUUUACUCCAACUUCCUUCUCAAGGAAAUAGUAUACUGGAAUGAUAAGAGUAAUGAACAAAGAAUUUACUCUAAGAUUGACUGGGGGUUGAUUAAUCAGGAAUGGCUGGAUCAAAUGCAUUUUAGUAGAUUGGUGUUUUUGCCUGAAGGAAAAGUGACCACUGUCCUGCAAAAGUGAAGUUGAAUGAGACAAAUUCCAAAGGAAGAAGGGCUUUCCAAUAUUGCAAUAUUUGGGGACAACACUCUCAAUUCCUGCACACAGUUAGGCAGGGAUGGAAUAAGAGUAUUCAAGGAUGUAGAAUGUUUCAAGUAGUGCAGAAAUUGAAGAAACUGAAGUAUGAACUAAAGAAAAUGGGAAAUCAGCAUACAAGAAGUAUUGUUGAUGAAGAUGGGGAUGAUAGGAAAGCAUUGAAACUAGCACAAGCGUACCUGCAGCAAUAUCCAUUAAACCAGGGGAAGCAACAAAAGGAAAAGGAGGCAUACUGUAAGUACAAACAGUCCUCUUAUUUGGCUGAAAUGUACUUACAACAAUAAAGUAAAGUUAUUGGCUUAAGCUAGGGGAUGAAAAUACAAGAUACUUCCACUCAGUAAUAAAGCACAGGAAAUUGAAACAAGCUAUCACUCAAGUGAAAAAUAAUCAUAGAGAAUGGCAGCAUGAUUCAAACUCAAUUGCCAAAGUGUUUGUGGAUUAUUAUAAGGCUUUGUUAGGGAGCAAAGAAACUGGUAGGGUGAAGGCAAAAACAUGGUUCUUGAAGAAUGGUCCAAUGUUAACUAUGGAGCAGCAAAUACAACUGAUUAUUCCUUUAUCCCAUAAGGAUAUAAAGGCUGCUAUGUUCUCUAUAAACAUCAAUAAAAGCUCUGGACCUGAUGGUUUUGGUGCUGGGUUCUUUAAAUUAACCUGGAGCAUUGUGGGAUCAGAUAUCAGUGAUGCUAUUUUGGAAUUUUUCGAGUAUGGCAAACUGUUGACACAGAUUAACUCAACUAAUAUAGCUCUUAUUCCUAAGUAGGAGUUUCUAGUAUUAGCAAGCCAGUACAGACCAAUAUCUUGCUACAAUGUGAUAUAUAAAUGCAUUUCGAAGUUGAUCUGUAGUAGACUGAAAGCAGUAGUGAAUGUUAUUGUAUCAGACAACCAGGUAACAUUUGUUAAAGGUAGAUCCAUGCUACAUAAUGUCUUGAUGUGUCAUGACAUUCUAAAACACUACAAUAGGGAGGUUUCUCCUAAAUGCUUAAUAAAAAUAGACUUGAGGAAGGCAUAUGACAUGGUCAGCUUGGAUUUUUUGGAAGAAGCGUUAUUAGGGUAUGGUUUUCCUAAUAGAUUCAUACACUGGAUUAUGAUUGUUGACACCCAAUUUUUGCUCUCCACGCCUAAAAUUAACGUCUUCAGGCUUUUUGUUCGUUAAAGGGCACGAAGCAUAAUUUUCACAUCUUUUUACAAUAGCUUGAUAAAUUAUUGAUAAUUAUCCUUUCUUUAGGAUUUUAAUCAAUUUGUUAUCAUAUUCUUAUUUUUUAUAAUUUAUUAAUUUUUCUAAUUUUAGGAUUUUUAUCAAUUCAUUAUCGUUGUUAACAUUUUACAAUCACCCGCACAUGUGCACGACAUGACGUUAUAUAUAUAUAUAUAUAUAUAUAUAUAUAUUUUAUAGUAUUUUUAAAUUAAUUAUGUUUUAAUAAUUUUAAUAUUCUUUACACUUUUUCAUUCAACAUCUAUAUUUUACAGUUCGCAAAUGCUAAGUCGGAUCAAUUAUUUUGGUGCAGUAUAAUAAUUCGAUGUCUUAUCAUAUCCGACAAUGACUACACAAUAAUGUCUUGUCACAUCCGACAAUAACCACUCAGUGUUGUCUCAUCACAUCUGACAACGACCAAUCAAUGACACUACCCUUGGAUAAUUACUUUGUCCUUUGGUCAAAAGGAUGAAAAUUCUUUGGCCAAUAACUUAAGGACCUAAGGGUGUUCUAUUAUAAAAAGAGAGGACAACCCCUUUAUCCGUUGGAUAAAAGGGGUGCUCAAUUUUUUGUAUAAAUAGGUGGUGGGAGGACACAUUUUUGGACACAUUUUUUUUUUAUCUUUUCCUCUCUUUCAAAAUACACGUAUAUUUAUUUUUUUCAACUAAUAAACAUUUUUCCUUUGCAAACCCACACACAUAUUCAUAAAUACAUAAACAUAUUUUAUUUAUUCCAUUUUUCUAUUUUUCUCUUCAAAACAUACCACAGAUAUAGGACACAACACAACAAUACACACAUACACUACACAUAUGCACAUACAUAUACACACGCAAGUACACUACAGAGAGAAUCAUUAUUUUCAUCUCCUUCUCCCUCACAAUUCUCUCCCUUUCUCCUUCACUGUCCCAGAUCCGGCGAGCUGUCCACCGGCGCCGCCCCUACACUCCCCUCUCUUCUGUAUCUGGCAAAGUCCCCAUCACCGAUGGUCAUCUCUGACCAGCGGUUCUUCACCAAACCUCUAGCCAUCAAAAAAUCACCAGCGCCCUCCACUCUCUUUUCCCUUUUUGCCGCGCCACGCCGGAGUUAAUCGCCAGCGGGCGAGUCUCGAAACAGCUAUGAGCCACCGCUUCCAAUCCCACAGUAACACGACCACUGUCUUUUAGCCGUUGUUACCUCCUUAUCUUUUACACUGUCACACCGAAAACCAUGGAGGUUUCUCCGGUGUUACCUCCCUUAAACACUAGAUCUAAAAAAUGGUUUUCUUCUCUUAUUUGCUUAUCCUGUUAUUAUUCUCAAUUGUUCUCAUGAUUUAUUUUGUAGGCCAGAAUACUAUUAUUUGGUGAUAAUGACAAUUGUUUUAUAUUGGAAAUGACAUUUUUUUAUAUUGCAAAUGACAUUUGUUUUAUGUUGCUUAUCAUAUUAUUAUUCUGUACAGUGGGAUUUCUCCACUGUAUUUAUUUAUUACACUGAUAUUGAAUAAGAUAAUACACAUUUUGACCGAUGAAAAAUUAUUAUUAAUUUGAGGCGUCCGUAAACAAAAGAGGAUUCUACGUAUACAAAUACGUAAUAAAUAUUUUGGGCGAUGAUAAAACUUUAUAACAACACAAGAUUUUACAAUUCAUAUCUUGGCAAGACGAUUUAGGAAGGCCAAUUAAUUGAGCAAUCACUUUGUUGCAAGACGAUUUAGGACGGCCAAUUAAUUGAGCAACUAUUUCGCAGUCAUGACAUUAUCUGAGCCCACUUUUUAACAAAAAUAUAUUUUUAAAUAUCUAUACGCAUACAUACUUGUUUAAUUUAUUUUAAUUAUUUUUAAUUUGUUACUUUCUUUUUUAAGUGUUUAUACAGGUUAUUUUGAAAUACUCGUUGGGAGUUGCAGUCAAAGGAGCCCUUAAAUUUUAUAUUAUAUUUUAUAUUCUCACACUUGUACAAAUAACAAAAAAAAUUGUGAAAAUUUUACUUUUUGGGUGUCGAGUGGGGAUAUUCUUUAUUUACAUAAUUUCAUCAAUUUUAGGCAAAACUUAGGUCGUUAAUAUUUAUAUAAAAUAAUUAAGUUAAUCAAUUAAUUCACAUUCACAUAUUACAUAUCUCUCUUUUAAAAAAUAAAUUUAUAUUUUCCUUUGUGAUUAAAAAAUACUUUUCCUUUUUAGUAUAUAAAAGAUACUUUUCUCUUUUUAUACGUUACAAAAAAUGUUUUUUCCUUUUACAUGAAAUCUUUAUAUUUUUAUACAUAUUUUCAUAACAAUAAAUUUAUUUAUAUAUUUAAUACACAUACAACUUUAUAUUAUUUAAAUAUUUUUACCACCUCGCUCUUUGAUAAAUUUAGACUUGUGGAUUCUGAAGGAUGCCUAACCCCUUCCCUUCAGAAUAACUUGAACCCUUACCUAGAAUCUGAACUGGCUUCGUAGACUAAAACACAAGUCUUGCAUUUUAUUAAAUAAAAAAGAUUUUUCUCAUUUCCCUUAAAAUAAGGUGGUGACUCUGUACAAUUUUCAUUCUUUUAGUGUCCAUAACGUCGUGCUCGUUUUAACCUCAGGUAAAAAUAGGGGCGCGACAGAAUGAAGACUUUGCUGGGGAUGAGGAGACGUUCUAACCAUGAUCGACUCAAUUUUCAAUCGAGGGAGGUAUUUUUACAUUUUUGUAUAUGAUUAAAUUCUUCACCUAUUA